AGUUGUGACUCUUGCAAAUCUUCUCAACCCUAAAACUAAGCCCUUCUUUUCUUUUGUUAACAUUUAUUCAGCAAUGGUCUGGUAACAUCAAUGUAUACCAAAAGGUAAAUUGAGGAAAAUGGUUCAAUUCAAUGAAAGUAAAGUCUGAUCAUGCAGUAAACACGUCCAAAAACCCAAAGAAUACAUACUAGUUUUUAAGACAUUAUGAACAGAAAAUUGAAGUUGCUUCCCAAUAUUUGGCCUGUAUUGGCCUUGCUUCCAAACUUUUGGCCUGUAGUGUAUAUGAGAAAAACAGUGUGGUUUUUGCCUUAAACUGCAUGGGAAUAGCAUAAAAUGGGCAUGUCUGUAAAGGGGAGACGUGUGGAUUACCCAUAGAACCCAUUUUCAUUCAGAUUGAAGGUCAAAGGUCAAGGUACUUUCAUGUCAGUUUUUGUGAAGUGUUGUUUUGUUGAGCCUGUUACAGUUUGUGAAACACAGAAAAACUCCUACCCCUCUAAAAAAUGUUGUAGAAUGGUUAAAGGGUUAGGUUAAAAGGCUUAAGACUUUAUUAUCCCAUACUUUCUAAACUGACAUUUUUUUAAAUAACAGAAAAUGAUGACCACGACCCAUCCAGUCAGCAGGGGGAUGCCUUCAGGAACUAUUGUGUUCCUGUGCAAGAAGUUCUGCCUGAUCCAAGCAGGAGUCAACCCACUCAAAGCACCAGUGGGAUUUAUCCAAACUUGAGCCAGUUUGAGAGGGCAGAAAGUCACAGAACUAAACAGAGAUUUCAUAGAGAGCUCUUCAGCAGAUUACGGCAAGCAAGUCUCAGUCGGCAUUAUUACGUCAACCAAGGUGAACUCCACAAGCAACAAGCCACGUCAGCUCAAGCUACAGAGGAUCAUCGCAGAGCACGUUUGGGAAAGAAGAAAGCCAAAGAAAAUGCUGAAUACAAAAACCCCAUUUACAACAGGAGCACUGACCAGCUCAACCACCUGUAGAGUGUGAAGGAGUUUAUUGGCAUAUUUCUUUCAGUACAGUUCAUCUUUUCUAAUGAUAAUUUUUUUUACAAAUAACAUUUGAAACAUGUCUUAUUUGUUUGUUUUAUAGUUGUACUGUAGUUCCUGGACGUUUAUUAUAGGACAAAAGGUGCUUGGUAAAGAUAAUGAUAUACAAAAAAGAUCAACAUAUCAGGAAGUAAUGUGUUUUUGUUGAAUGGGAUAAAUCUGUGCAUGCAAGAUGUAUUUAAGUGCAUGUGAAAAUAAAUUGCUUUCAUACUCUGUUUAACUUGCAGAUAAAAUAUAAGCCUUUUUGAGUGUGUGUUUCUUUCUUUUGAGUGUGUUUUUUUUAACCAAACUACACUACCUACAGACAGUGGAGAGUCUCAUAUUCACCCACAUGCCUUUUAACUGUGAGAUGACAAAGUAAGAAAGGCCCCAGAAUUUAGCUGAUUUUUCUGAUGGCACUAUCCUUGAAAC